rnacentral:rRNA from 1 species
GACGAACCGUGCGAACGUUGUUCGGAAUCACUGGGCUUAAAGGGCGCGUAGGCGGCUCGCCAAGUCAGGGGUGAAAGCCUCCAGCUCAACUGGGGAAGUGCCUUUGAUACUGGCGAGCUAGAGUGAGGUAGGGGCGGGUGGAACUUCCGGUGGAGCGGUGAAAUGCGUUGAUAUCGGAAGGAACGCCGGUGGCGAAAGCGACCCGCUGGACCUCUUCUGACGCUGAGGCGCGAAAGCUAGGGGAGCGAACGGG